CGUAGGGUGCGAGCGUUAAUCGGAAUUACUGGGCGUAAAGCGUGCGCAGGCGGUUUUGUAAGCCAGAUGUGAAAUCCCCGGGCUUAACCUGGGAAUGGCAUUUGGGACUGCAAGGCUUGAGUGCGGCAGAGGAGACUGGAAUUCCUGGUGUAGCAGUGAAAUGCGUAGAUAUCAGGAGGAAUACCGAUAGCGAAGGCAGGUCUCUGGGCUGACACUGACGCUCAUGCACGAAAGCGUGGGGAGCAAACAGGAUUAGAUACCCUGGUAGUCCACGCCCUAAACGAUGUCGACUGGUUGUUGGGGGUUUGACACUCUCAGUAACGAAGCUAACGCGUGAAGUCGACCGCCUGGGGAGUACGGCCGCAAGGUU
rnacentral:rRNA from 1 species